rnacentral:rRNA from 1 species
AUGGACUUCACCAAGCACUUCAUUGCGGUGCCGACGGAGUUCAAGCUGAGGAACAACACUGACUGCUCUUGGAGGGUGACGGUGAAGAUAAUGAACGGCAAGGUGACCCUGCAGGGUUGGGCCACCUACGCCGCCGUUCAUCAGAUCAAGAUCGGCUACAUGGUGACGUUCAAGCUCGUGACUCCCGACACCCUCAAGGUCAUCAUCUUCGACGACGAAGGCACUGAGGUGGUCAACAAGUGCGGGAAGCACGACGAAGCCUUCGCCGCCAGGGACUAG